rnacentral:rRNA from 1 species
UUUAUCGGUUACAGAUUGGCCUUGUGCCUUCCAUUAGUUAGUUGAUGAGUUUACGGGCUUCCCCAAGGCAAACGGAGGAUAGGGGGCCUGAGAGGUUUUAUCCCCCACACUGGUCAUGAGCCUCGGACCAGACUCAUACGGGAGGCAGCAGUGAGGAAAUAUUGGUCAAUGAGCGAAAGCUUGAACCAGCCAAGUCGCGUGAAGGAAGAAUGUCCUAAGGAUUGUAAACUUCUUUUAUACAGGAAUAAUAGUCGCCACGUGUGGCGACCUGCAUGUACUGUAUGAAUAAGGAUCGGCUAACUCCGUGCCAGCAGCCGCGGUAAUACGGAGGAUCCGAGCGUUAUCCGGAUUUAUUGGGUUUAAAGGGUGCGCAGGCGGGAGAUUAAGUCGGCGGUGAAAUUUUGCGGCUCAACCGUAAAAGUGCCUUCGAAACUGGUUUUCUUGAGUGUAGAUGAAGUAGGCGGAAUUUGUGGUGUAGCGGUGAAAUGCAUAGAUAUCACGAGGAACUCCGAUUGCGCAGGCAGCUUACUAAACUACAACUGACGCUCAUGCACGAAGGCGUGGGGAUCAAACAGGAUUAGAUACCCUGGUAGUCCACGCAGUAAACGAUGAUUACUAGUUGUUUGCGAUACACAGUAAGCGACUGAGCGAAAGCAU